rnacentral:rRNA from 1 species
GAUGAACGCUGGCGGCGUGCCUAAUACAUGCAAGUCGAGCGAACAGACGAGGAGCUUGCUCCUCUGACGUUAGCGGCGGACGGGUGAGUAACACGUGGAUAACCUACCUAUAAGACUGGGAUAACUUCGGGAAACCGGAGCUAAUACUGGAUAAUAUAUUGAACCGUAUGGUUCAAUAGUGAAAGACGGUUUUGCUGUCACUUAUAGAUGGAUCCGCGCCGCAUUAGCUAGUUGGUAAGGUAACGGCUUACCAAGGCAACGAUGCGUAGCCGACCUGAGAGGGUGAGCCGCCCCACUGGAACUGAGCCACGGUCCAGACUCCUACGGGAGGCAGCAGUAGAGAAUCUUCCGCAAUGGACGAAAGCCUGACGGAACAACGCCGAGUGAGUGAUGAAGGUCUUCGGAUCGUAAAACUCUGUUAUUAGGGAAGAACAAAUGUGUAAGUAACUAUGCUCGUCUUGACGGUACCUAAUCAGAAAGCCACGGCUAACUACGUG